rnacentral:rRNA from 1 species
AGUGAACGCUGGCGGUAGGCCUAACACAUGCAAGUCGAACGGCAGCACAGUAAGAGCUUGCUCUUACGGGUGGCGAGUGGCGGACGGGUGAGGAAUACAUCGGAAUCUACUUUUUCGUGGGGGAUAACGUAGGGAAACUUACGCUAAUACCGCAUACGACCUACGGGUGAAAGCAGGGGAUCUUCGGACCUUGCGCGAUUGAAUGAGCCGAUGUCGGAUUAGCUAGUUGGCGGGGUAAAGGCCCACCAAGGCGACGAUCCGUAGCUGGUCUGAGAGGAUGAUCAGCCACACUGGAACUGAGACACGGUCGAGACGCCUACGGGAGGCAGCAGUGGGGAAUAUUGGACAAUGGGCGCAAGCCUGAUCCAGCCAGACCGCGUGGGUGAAGAAGGCGUUCGGGUUGUAAAGCCCUUUUGUUGGGAAAGAAAAGCAGCAGGUUAAUACGCCGCCGUUCUGACGGUACCCAAAGAAUAAGCACCGGCUAACUUCGUG